rnacentral:tRNA from 1 species
GGUUGUGGCUCAGUGAUAGAGCACUUGCCUGGCAUGUGUGAGGCACUGGGUUCAAUUCUCAGCACCA